rnacentral:rRNA from 1 species
CGACCAUAGAGCAUUGGAACCACCUGAUCCCAUCCCGAACUCAGCAGUGAAACGAUGUAUCGCCGAUG